CAUGUACAGAUCCAGUCUAGGUGAAAUGAAAUAUAUGAAAAUUGUUCUUAUAUGGCUAGAAGCACAAAGAUUUUAGUUUCUUUUUCAAUGUAUGACAUCUAUUAUGUGUAUGUAAAGAAAAUAGAGUGCAGCUAGUUCACAGAUAAACUAUGCAGUACUGGUGGUAAAAGAAGACUAAAAAAAAUUUAGUUCUUGGGGACUUGUGAUUGUGGUAGUAAGUACCCUCCGUUCUUCUCCUUCUUUCUUUGUUUCCACCUUCUCAUUCUUUUUCCUUUCUUUUUCUUUCUCUCUCUCUCUUUUUUUCUUUUCUUUUCUUUUCUUUUCUUUUCUUUUCUUUUCUUUUCUUUUCUUUUCUUAAAAAAAAGACACGUGCAUGUUGUUUUUAGCUUGAAAAAUGCUAAUGAAAAAUCAACUAAUUAUCAAACCUGGAAAAUGUUUACUUUGGGGGAAAAUCUUUUAAAAUAGAAUUUCUAUUUUUUGGCAGUUCACUUUUUAAAUGGGUUAUUUAAUCUAUACUUCUACAGCACACAGCUUAUUGCAUUUUAUAUGGUUAUAUUGAAAUUACAUGAACUGGGGCACCUAAGGGAAUGUUUAUGUUUCAGAAAAAAAAUUGGGCUGGAUUGAAAUGCAGCAUGAAUCAUAAGAGUUUAGAAGCACAUGAAGAUGAAUGUGUCCCUAGUGACUCAACAGAGAACAUCUGGAACACAAGGAGGAACGUUUUUCCCCUUCUUAUAUCUAGAAGUCAAGUGCCAGAAAGAGAGCAUGUUGUUUCAUCCAAGGAAGAAAGAUGUUAGUAACUGAAUUGCAUAAUCCCCAACACAGAACUGACAUCUGA
rnacentral:lncRNA from 1 species